AGCGAACGCUGGCGGCAGGCUUAACACAUGCAAGUCGAGCGGGCACUUCGGUGUCAGCGGCAGACGGGUGAGUAACACGUGGGAACGUGCCCUUCGGUUCGGAAUAACUCAGGGAAACUUGAGCUAAUACCGGAUACGCCCUUUGGGGGAAAGGUUUACUGCCGAAGGAUCGGCCCGCGUCUGAUUAGCUAGUUGGUGGGGUAAUGGCCUACCAAGGCGACGAUCAGUAGCUGGUCUGAGAGGAUGAUCAGCCACACUGGGACUGAGACACGGCCCAGACUCCUACGGGAGGCAGCAGUGGGGAAUAUUGGACAAUGGGCGCAAGCCUGAUCCAGCCAUGCCGCGUGAGUGAUGAAGGCCUUAGGGUUGUAAAGCUCUUUCGACGGGACGAUAA
rnacentral:rRNA from 1 species